rnacentral:misc_RNA from 1 species
GAAGCGCAAGUUAGCUGAGGGAAAAAAAGAAAUUGCUGCGAUCGGGCCUUUGUCGGAUCCGCAUUACCGGGUCGCAUUCCUUCUUCUUCUUCUUCUUUUCUAGAAGGAACAAAAACGGAGACAAAUUCUUUUUGAAGAAAGUGAUAGAGAUCAUUGAAGAAACGGAGAGAGAUGUGGGUGUUUUACUUGAUCUCGCUGCCUCUAACCCUAGGCAUGGUGAUUUUGACGUUGAGGUACUUCGCUGGCCCGGAGGUGCCUCGCUAUGUUCUAUUCACCGUUGGAUACACCUGGUUCUGUUCUCUCUCCUUUAUCAUUCUUGUACCUGCCGAUAUCUACACGGCAAAAUUUUAUCUUGACAAUGCAGGUAUUUCUUUCUUUUGGAGCUGGUCAUAUUGGAGUACGUUUUUACUUACUUGGGCUGUGGUGCCCCUUAUUCAGGGUUUUGAAGAUGCUGGAGACUUCACUGUGACAGAAAGAUUAAGGACUAGUGUACACGCUAACUUGGUCUUCUAUUUAAUUGUGGGAUCUAUUGGACUUUUUGGACUUAUUCUCCUUGCUUUGAUGCAAAAAAUAAGGAGUGGGAGUAAUGUGCUUGGUGUUGCUAUGGCAUGCUCGAAUACAUUUGGACUUGUAACAGGUGCCUUUCUUCUUGGUUUUGGUUUGAGUGAAAUUCCUAAGAACCUGUGGAGAAAUGCAGAUUGGACAACCCGCCAAAAAGUUCUUUCUCAUAAAAUUGCCAAAAUGGCUGUGAAACUUGAUGAUGCUCAUCAAGAACUUUCAAAUGCUAUUGUAGUUGCUCAGGCAACUUCCAAUCAGAUGUCCAAGCGUGACCCUUUGAGACCUUACAUGAAUGUCAUAGAUAACAUGCUAGCUCAAAUGUUCAGGGAAGACCCAUCCUUUAAACCACAAGGUGGCCGAUUGGGAGAAAAUGACAUGGACUAUGAUACGGAUGAGAAAUCAAUGGCAACACUUAGACGUCAUCUUAGGGGAGCUCGUGAAGGGUAUUAUCGUUAUAAAAGUGAGUAUAUGACCUAUGUCUUGGAAGCCCUAGAACUGGAAGAUACAAUUAAAAAUUAUGAACGUGGCAAUUCAACUGGAUGGAAAUAUAUUUCAAGCUUCAGACCUGCUCGAACUGGUAAAUUGGGGGCCAUCUUUGAUACGAUGGAAUUUUUUUGGCGAUGCAUUUUAAGAAAGCAAUUUGAGAAGUUCUUGGCUAUCAUACUUGGUACUAUGUCAGCUGCAACUCUUUUGGCUGAGGCAACUCUGCUACUGGGAAGUUUUAAUCUCUCACUUUUUUCAGUUCUUAUAAAUUCUAUUGGAAAGCAAGAGCUUUUAGUGCAGGUGUUGGCUCUUAUACCUUUGAUGUAUAUGUGCAUCUGCACAUACUACUCUUUGUUCAAAAUUGGAAUGCUAAUGUUUUAUUCAUUAACACCUAGGCAGACAAGCUCGGUCAGCUUGCUUAUGAUAUGCUCGAUGGUUGCUCGUUAUGCUCCUCCAAUUUCAUACAACUUUCUCAAUCUCAUCAAUCUUGAUGCUAAAACUAUAUUUGAAAAACGAAUGGGCAAAAUUGAUGAUGUUUUAAAGAUCUUUGGAAGUGGGUUUAACAAAAUCUAUCCUCUCAUAAUGGUUAUAUACACCCUUUUGGUUGCAAGUAAUUUCUUUGACCGAGUGAUUGGUUUCUUUGGGAGCUGGAAGAGAUUUAGAUUUCAAACUGAAGCAGAUGAUACUGAUGGAUUUGAUCCAUCAGGAUUAAUUAUCCUACAGAAAGGUAACUGCUUGAACCUUUUUUCUUAACUAAUGGGUCAUGCAGGAUGCUAUAUGAUCUGCCAAGAUAUAAUAUAUGCUUGAAAUUUAUUAAGUUCUCCUUUUGUAUCUGUGAAACUUGAUGAGUAUUCUCUCUCUUUCACACACACAUUUUUGCAGAACAAUCUUGGCUAGAACAAGGACAAAAAGUUGGUGAGCAUGUUAUCCCACUGGCAAGAAACUUUAACAGCGUGGAUAUGGAGUCCGGCAGCAACGGUGCAGUAUGGAUUCACAUCUUAAAUAAUACUUGCAGUUUCUUUUUUUUGUUUCUUAAAGUUUUCUUUUUUAAUGUUAUUCUCAUAUAUAACUCACAAUUUGAGUGGACUGAGUAUACUUAAUGACAGUUUUGCGACAAAUAAUAAGGUUUUUUUAAUGUGAUUCUAUCAUGUGAUCAAUUAUAGUUCUUUUUCUUUUUCGUCUUGAAACAAUAUACAUAGCUGUCUAACUGCUAAGUAAAAUUUACAGGAUAAGACUGCUGUUGAAAUGAAGGCAACAACUAGUUUAGUCACUGAUGCUACCAAGGGAAGCACGUCAACACCUUUGAAAGAAGAGGGAAGCAGAUACAGCACCAGUAAGGAAGCCAUCAGCAACAAAUAUGCAUCCUUGAGAGAACAAAGUAGACAUGCCAAUGCUAGGCCUGCUGAAAAGAAUAUUGCCUCUGCUACGGUGUCAUUGCUUGAUUCAGGCAACUCAGAAUCCAGCAACACACGAGGACCAUCCGGUUUGGCAUCAAAAUGGGAAUCAAUGAAGAAUGGUUUUCAAAGUUUUAAGGCAAACAUAGGGGCCAAACGAUUUCUUCCUUUACGCCAAAUUCAGGACACCAAACUUUUCUCUCAUGAUUCAUCAUCCGAAUCACUUGAUGAGAUAUUCCAGAGGUUAAAACGACCAUCUAACGACUAUGGAAGUAACAGUGAUGAUGAUGUGAAUGGGAUGAUAACAGGCCCUGGCAGAUAAUGUUAGAUUUGUUAACAGAAUGGGAACUUGUUGCUGUUUUAGAAAUUGAACACGAGAUGUACAGACAAAGGGGUGAUACCCAGCUCAUACCAAAAAAUUUUUCUCCUGAAACUUGGGAGGAUGAUCUACCAGAUGCUGCCAGAUGGUGACUUCGAACGUACUUCAGAAUUGGAGACGCGAUAGGAUGGAAGGAAAAAGAAAGGAUGAAGGAAAGACAUUUGUUCAAGAUGCAGAGAUAAUUGAUCAUGUGUUGGAGGAACUUGGCCAAUUAAAUUGCAGCAGUAGAAAGCAUCUUGGCUUAUGCUUUCCCUUUUGAGUAGCAUUUAUGUUAGUAUUAAUAUUAUGAUUUUUCUAAUGGGUGUAAAUAUACACCCGUUAAUGUUCAUUAUGCAGUUUAUUUAUAUGUUAAAUCAAGUGAAAUUAUAAUU